AUUGAACGCUAGCGGGCUGCUUUACACAUGCAAGUCGAACGAGUGGCGGACGGGUGAGCAAUAUAUCGGAACGUGCCCAGUAGCGGGGGAUAACUACUCGAAACAGUGGCAACUACAGCAUACUCUUGGAGCGGCCGAUACCGGAUGAGCUAGUUGGUGGGGGAAAGGCACACCAAGGCAACGAUCCGUAGCUGGUUUGAGAGGACGACCAGCCACAUGGGGACUGAGACACGUCCCAGACUCCUACGGGAGGCAGCAGUGGGGAAUUUUGGACAAUGGGCGAAACCCUGAGCCAGCCAUCCCGCGUGUAUGAGAAGGCCUUCGGAUUGUAAAGUACUUUUGGCAGAGAAGCGGUAUCUGCAGAAUAAGCACCGGCUAACUACGUGCCAGCAGCCGCGGUAAUUC
rnacentral:rRNA from 1 species